UGGCCGCGGGAAGGCUGGAGCCGUUCUGGCUGGCACCGGGGUCUACGCCCUCCUGCCGGAGGCUGGCUCUCGCCUCUGCUCCCUUCCUGGGUUCUGCGCCGCCACCCCUCACCCACGCCGCUUAUCUUCCCUCCCUUUGCACGCUCCCGCGGGACAGGGAGAGUUACAGGCUUCAGACUUUAUCUCGUUGUGGAAAGCAAGAGACCAAGCCAAAAACUUUGGUCGUGCUUUUCAACAUCUCCGGUCAAAAGAGGUCGCCAAUCUGCUUUUCUCCCAUUGCUGCGUCUUAGAGGGGUGUGGUGCCAUGAUACCACUUUUGAAAAUCCUGUUGAAUGCAAGUCCUCUUUGUUGCUCAUUGAACAAUGAGGAUAUUUAGCUCCCCUCAGAGCUACCCUCAGAGUUGGAUGAGCUAUCCUCAGAGUUGGAUGCCACCACCGGGAGCAGCAAAAGCGAAGGCAACUCAUGAUUCUGCCUCAGAAGCAAUCGAAUAAAAUAUUUUGAAAAUGAA
rnacentral:lncRNA from 1 species